GAUGUAGUCUGCAACUCGACUACAUGAAGCUGGAAUCGCUAGUAAUCGCGAAUCAGCAUGUCGCGGUGAAUACGUUCCCGGGUCUUGUACACACCGCCCGUCACACCAUGGGAGUUGGUAACGCCCGAAGCCAGUGACCCAACCGGAAACGGAGGGAGCUGUCGAAGGUGGGACCGAUAACUGGGGUGAAGUCGUAACAAGGUAGC
rnacentral:rRNA from 1 species